ACGUGCCGCUCCCCGCGGAGGAGCCGGACUGUCGGCGGCGGAGGGGGAGGCUCGGGCUGCGGCUGCGGAGCGCAGGCGGCGCCGCUUGUUUUGGUUCGGGGCUCGGCGGCUCCUCCUCCUGCUGCUGCCGCCGCCGCCGCCGCAGACUGGGGCGGGGGGCUCGGCCCGGCUCCGCCGCCGCCGCCGCCGCCGCCCGUCCCUCGUCCCGCCGGGCAUGAAGAGAAGGCGGCGGAGGGCAGCAUGUUCCGCCCGCGCCCGGGCCGCCGCGCCCGCCUGCUCGUGCUGCGUGUCGGAGCGGCGCGCUCUGCGCCUCGCGCCCUGGGGCUGAGUGCAGCCGCCCGCCGCCAGCGCCCGCCGCCUCGGCGCUGAGCCGGAGCCGGGAGCCGCGCCGUGCAGCAACCGCGCUUCGCCGCAGCCGCUGCCAGGAGCCCGCAGCCGCUGCUGGGACCGGGAUCGGGACCCCCUGCCUGCCUGCUUGCCUGCCUGCCUGCCUGCUGCCCCGGGCGGGGAGGAUGCGCUUGUGCCCCCGGCGGGCGCCUUGCGGCUGGGCUGAGCCGGACGGGACUUGCCGGACAUAAACAGCGGCGCCGCGGCCGGGCUGGGCCCCGCCCCGAGGGGCGCCCGCUCCCCGCGCCGCACGGAGGGCGUCGCUGCUGUCCGCGCCUCCUCGCGAGCGGCUGAAUCCCGGCCCUCCUGCGGGGCUGUCGGGCGCCAUGGCGAGCCCCACGGAGGGUGGCGAGGGCUGCUUCUCCGACGUGAGGAAGGUGGGUUAUUUGCGCAAACCCAAGAGCAUGCACAAGCGCUUCUUCGUGCUGCGGGCGGCCAGCGAGUCGGGGCCUGCCCGGCUGGAGUACUACGAGAACGAGAAGAAGUGGAGGCACAAGUCGGGGGCUCCCAAGCGCUCCAUCCCGCUGGAGAGCUGCUUCAACAUCAACAAACGGGCUGACUCCAAGAACAAACACUUGGUGGCCCUCUACACCAAGGACGAGCACUUUGCCAUUGCCGCUGACAGCGAGCCAGAGCAGGAGAGCUGGUACCAAGCCCUGCUGCAGCUGCACAACCGGGCCAAGGGCCACCAUCACCACCACCACCACCACAGUGAUGUUGCCUUCGGGGGCACUGGGGCGGGGCUGGGGGAGGCAGGGGAAGACAGUUACGGUGAGGCGGUCCCCGGCCCGGCUUUCAAGGAGGUGUGGCAAGUGAUCCUGAAACCCAAGGGCCUGGGCCAAACCAAGAACCUGAUUGGCAUCUACCGCCUGUGCCUCACCAACAAAACCAUCAGCUUUGUGAAGCUGAACUCGGACGCAGCUGCCGUGGUGCUGCAGCUGCUCAACAUCCGCCGCUGCGGCCACUCAGAGAAUUUCUUUUUCAUUGAGGUGGGGCGCUCGGCAGUGACGGGGCCUGGUGAGUUUUGGAUGCAGGUGGAUGACUCGGUGGUGGCACAGAACAUGCACGAAACCAUCCUGGAGGCGAUGCGAGCCAUGAGUGAGGAAUUCCGGCCUCGCAGCAAGAGCCAGUCGUCCUCCAACUGCUCCAACCCCAUCUCUGUGCCCCUCCGCAGCAGACACCAUGUCAAUAACCCCCCGCCCAGCCAGGUGGGGCUCAGCCGCAGGUCCAGGACUGAGAGUGUCACUGCUACCUCUCCUGCUGGUGGUGGCGGAGGGGCAGGUGGCAAGCCCAGCUCUUUCCGAGUCCGAGCAUCUAGUGAUGGGGAAGGCACGAUGUCCAGGCCUGCCUCUGUGGAUGGCAGCCCGGUUAGUCCCAGCACCAACCGGACCCAUUCUCACAGGCACCGCGGCAGUUCUAGACUUCAUCCUCCGCUAAACCACAGCCGCUCCAUCCCGAUGCCUUCUUCACGCUGCUCCCCUUCAGCCACCAGCCCAGUCAGCCUGUCAUCCAGCAGCACCAGCGGCCAUGGCUCCACCUCUGACUGCCUCUUUCCACGCCGGUCCAGUGCUUCGGUCUCUGGUUCGCCCAGUGAUGGCGGAUUCAUUUCUUCUGAUGAGUAUGGCUCCAGUCCAUGUGACUUUCGAAGCUCCUUUCGCAGUGUGACCCCAGACUCUCUGGGCCACACCCCUCCAGCCCGAGGGGAUGAGGAACUCAAUAACUACAUCUGCAUGGGGGGGAAAUCUGCCUCCUCUUGCUGCAGCCUGGCAGCUCCCAAUGGUCACUUUGUGCCUCGCCCCUGUCACCCGCAGCAGCAGCAGUCUCGCUACCCUGGCACCCCAUGCUGCUCCCGGGCUGGUGGUGAGGAGGGAGCGGAUCUGGAGAAAGGCUUCAGGAAGCGGACUCACUCUGCGGGCACUUCACCUACCAUCUCCCACCAGAAAACACCCUCGCAGUCUUCAGCGGCAUCCAUUGAGGAGUACACAGAAAUGUUGCCAUCCUACCCCUGUGGUGGCAGCCGCUUGCCAUCCUACCGGCACUCAGCUUUUGUGCCCACUCAUUCAUAUCCUGAGGAGUGUCUGGAGAUGCACCACCUGGACAGCAGCCAUCAUCGGACUAACUCCGCCCCUCACACCGAUGAUGGCUACAUGCCGAUGUCACCUGGAGUGGCCCCUGUGCCCAGUGUUGGUGGCAAUCCCAAAGGUGGAGAUUACAUGCCCAUGAGCCCCAAGAGUGUGUCAGCACCACAGCAGAUCAUCAACCCAGGCCGGGGAGGUCGCCAUCCCCAGGCCAUGGUGGACUCCAAUGGCUACAUGAUGAUGUCCCCCAGUGGAAGCUACUCACCUGAUGGUGGCCCUGCUGGCUACGGCAAAAUAUGGACUAAUGGGGCAAGCCAUCACCCAAAGCUCUCGGUAGAGAGUAACGAAGGGAAGUUGCCCUGUGGUGGCAGUGAUUACAUCAACAUGUCUCCAGCCAGUGGCUCCACCACCAGCACCCCACCUGACUGCUACUUUGCCAGCUCAGGGCCACCAGGUACAGAGGAGGCCCCUGCACAGGGCCCAGCCCAAGCUCACCACAAGCCCAUCUAUUCCUACUUUUCCCUGCCGCGCUCUUUCAAACAUGUGCAACGCAGGACUGCAGCAGUGGCUGAGGACAGUGGCCUCCAGCUGCGCAUAUCCCUCAGCUCUGGCCGCUUGCUCUAUGCUGCUGAGGACUCAUCCUCCUCCACGAGUAGUGACAGCCUUGGUGGUGGCAGUGGCCAGGACAACAGUCAUCAUCACGCACAUCCCUUGCAGCAGCAGCAACAGCAGCCGCAACUGCAGCCGCAGCCUCCACACAAGGUGGACACAGCUGUUCAGACCAAGAGCCGCCUGGCCAGACCUACACGCUUGUCUCUGGGUGGCCCCAAGGCUAGCACCCUGCCCCGGGCUCGGGAGCAACCACCACUGUUACUGCCCCCGGAGCCCAAGAGCCCCGGGGAAUAUGUGAACAUUGAGUUUAUCUCAAGUGAGAAGCCAGUCUUUCCGUUGCCUGGCUCGGCCACCCUAUCUCUUGGCUUAACCCCAGCAGGGGAUGAGGGUUCUGAGGAGUACAUGAAUAUGGACUUGGGGACACCACGGGCUGCCUGCCAAGCUGGAUACUCAGCUGCACGGACAGGAACUGUGGCUCGGCCUGGCCGAAGGGCAGCUAUGAGCAGCCGGGAUUACGUGGCUAUGCAGUUGGGAGGGGGUGUUGGGGGACCCUGCCUGGACUGCGUUGAUAGCCCUUCCCCCUCAUCCUCAGACCUCCUGCUCAGUUAUGCUGAUAUGCGGACAGGUCGUACUGGCCCAGAGAAAAUGCCUUCUGCAGCCCUGGCACCCCCUGAGCCACGACCACCAGCUGAGUUGGCAGCAGCCCCACCACGCUCCUCCUCCCUGAUGGGAGGUCCAGGGGUGAACAGUGCUUUCACCCGGGUCAGCCUCAGUCCCAAUCGCAACCAGAGUGCCAAAGUGAUCCGGGCUGACCCACAGGGAGGCCGGAGGCGGCACAGCUCGGAGACUUUCUCCUCCACUCCCAGCUCUGCCCGUGGAGUAGCAGGCAGUACUGGCUUGAAUGCACCUUUACCUUAUGGGGUUGGAGGUGUAGGGAGUGCUGAGGAGGUCAAGCGCCACAGCUCAGCCUCCUUUGAGAAUGUUUGGCUCCGGCCUGCAGGAGGGGACCUGGGCGGGCCUCUGGGUACUACCAGGAAAGAACAGCAAGUUGGAGCUGGGAGUGGUUUUGCAAAUGGACUCAAUUACAUCGACCUGGACUUAGUGAAGGAUUUUAAUCACCGCCGCCACCUCCACCAACCCCAAGAGGGUACCUCUAUGCUGGGGGGGAAGCAGCCACCACCACAGCAGCAGACUAAGUCCCCUAAUCAGCCUCGUGGGAGUAACCACUCCAGCGAUGAUUCAAAUGCAUAUGCCAGCAUCAGCUUCCAGAAGCGGGAGGAUAUCUAGUAGCUGGGCAAGAGCCAGAAAGAAGGUAAAAGGGUGAAAGUGGCUGCGUGGAAGACAUAAGGGAAGACAUUUUUGGAAGAAUGAUGACCUAUACAACCUCAGCAUAUCCUUCUUGUAACUCAUGGGUAUCAAGACUAUAAAUGUUUCAUGUAUCACAACUAGGACCUCACAUCCUCUUCCUCCUCCUCCUCUGUAGAUGGGUACGAUGCAUCCAGUUCAGUUUGUUUACUUUACACAAACCUCAGGAGUUCGUUGACUGAACUGCACAUUCUUUGUUGCGCCAAGCAAAAGCACUGUGACACCUGGACAAUGAGUCUUUUACUUCAUCCUCUGCUAUACAGACUUAGCUGGCCACAAUGAACUGAUGUGCCCACCACUGUGUCAUGGUGAGAAUGAGUAUUUUACUAGCACAUUUACACAAUACGUUAAACUUCAUUUGCUGCUGAAAAUCUAUAUGACAAAUCAUCAUUGUAAAUUAUUACAUACAAAACUGUUAAUGUUGGUUGAAGAGUAUUAAAUAUUUAACAUAGGUUUUGAUUUAUACAUGUACUUUUUUUAAUUAAAACGUAACUUUUCCUACAGCACAUCUUUUUUUGAUGUGGAACUGAGGUAUACUAUAUUCUGUUGUAAACAGAGUGGGGAACCUGCUUAAAACAAGACUUCUAAGAAUAGAGUAGGGUACUAUUCUUGUUUUAAGAUUGUAUUUCAGAAAAUAAUAUAAUAUGAAUCAUUGGCCCUUGGGCCUUGAUUGUACAGUCAUAUUUACUGAUACUGUCAGUUGUAAAAUAACCCUGAUGUUGAGCUGAGUUCUUUCCAAAAGAAACAUAAUUUUGUACACCUGUAAAAUAAUAGUCUGUAAUAACAAAAAUGAAGACAAACUUACUGUACAUGGUAUUUACAAGUGUCAACUUGAAUUCAUCAGUUGCACAGGAUCAUAAGAAAAUCAGAAAAAAGAAAUCAGAGUCUUCCAUUGUAUAUAUUGUAAAAAAAAACCAAAACAAAAAAACCAAAACAAAAAAAUGAAUGAAUUCUUCAAAACUUUCCCUGGAAUGAAAAAUGUGGGUGUUUGUAAAUUCUGGAAAUUUCUUUCUAUGUGUAAUAAACUAGAUACUGUUUUA